rnacentral:rRNA from 1 species
UACAGAGGUCUCUAGCGUUGUUCGGAUUCAUUGGGCGUAAAGGGUGCGUAGGCGGCGCGGUAAGUCGGGUGUGAAAUCUCGGGGCUUAACUCCGAAACUGCAUUCGAUACUGCGGUGCUUGAGGACUGGAGAGGAGACUGGAAUUCAUGGUGUAGCAGUGAAAUGCGUAGAGAUCAAUGAGGAAGACCAGUGGCGAAGGCGG